rnacentral:rRNA from 1 species
ACGCACGCUGGCGGCCUGCCUAACACAUGCAAGGCGCACGAGACCUUCGGGUCUAGUGGCGCACGGGGGCGUAACGCGUGGGAACCUGCCCGGAGGGGCGGAAGAACUCCCCGAAAGGGGUGCUAAUACCGGAUAAUGUCUUCGGACCAAAGAUUUAUCGCCUUUGGAUGGGCCCGCGUUGGAUUAGCUAGUUGGUAGGGUAAAAGCCUACCAAGGCGACGAUCCAUAGCUGGUCUGAGAGGAUGAUCAGCCACACUGGGACUGAGACACGGCCCAGACUCCUACGGGAGGCAGCAGUGGGGAAUAUUGGACAAUGGGCGAAAGCCUGAUCCAGCAAUGCCGCGUGAGUGAUGAAGGCCUUAGGGUUGUAAAGCUCUUUUACCCGGGAUGAUAAUGACAGUACCGGGAGAAUAAGCUCCGGCUAACUCCGUG